rnacentral:rRNA from 1 species
AGUGGCGGACGGGUGAGUAACGCGUGGGAAUAUGCCUUUGGUUCGGAACAACUCAGGGAAACUUCAGCUAAUACCGUAUGUGCCCUUCGGGGGAAAGAUUUAUCGCCAUUGGAGUAGCCCGCGUUGGAUUAGGUAGUUGGUGGGGUAAUGGCCUACCAAGGCGACGAUCCAUAGCUGGUCUGAGAGGAUGAUCAGCCACACUGGGACUGAGACACGGCCCAGACUCCUACGGGAGGCAGCAGUGGGGAAUAUUGGACAAUGGGCGCAAGCCUGAUCCAGCCAUGCCGCGUGAGUGAUGAAGGCCCUAGGGUUGUAAACUGCUUUU